CCUACGGGCGGCAGCAGUGAGGAAUAUUGGUCAAUGGACGAGAGUCUGAACCAGCCAAGUAGCGUGAAGGAUGACUGCCCUAUGGGUUGUAAACUUCUUUUAUAUGGGAAUAAAAUGUUCCACGUGUGGGAUUUUGUAUGUACCAUAUGAAUAAGGAUCGGCUAACUCCGUGCCAGCAGCCGCGGUAAUACGGAGGAUCCGAGCGUUAUCCGGAUUUAUUGGGUUUAAAGGGAGCGUAGGUGGAUUGUUAAGUCAGUUGUGAAAGUUUGCGGCUCAACCGUAAAAUUGCAGUUGAAACUGACAGUCUUGAGUACAGUAGAGGUGGGCGGAAUUCGUGGUGUAGCGGUGAAAUGCUUAGAUAUCACGAAGAACUCCGAUUGCGAAGGCAGUUCACUGGACUGCAACUGACACUGAGGCUCGAAAGUGUGGGUAUCAAACAGGAUUAGAUACCCGUGUAGUC
rnacentral:rRNA from 1 species